GGUUAAGUUAGAAAGGGCGCACGGUGGAUGCCUUGACACUAGGAGUCGAUGAAGGACGGGACUAACGCCGAUAUGCUUCGGGGAGCUGUAAGUAAGCUUUGAUCCGAAGAUUUCCGAAUGGGGAAACCCACCAUACGUAAUGGUAUGGUAUCCUUAUCUGAAUACAUAGGGUAAGGAAGACAGACCCAGGGAACUGAAACAUCUAAGUACCUGGAGGAAGAGAAAGCAAAUGCGAUUUCCUGAGUAGCGGCGAGCGAAACGGAACAUAGCCCAAACCAAGAGGCUUGCCUCUUGGGGUUGUAGGACAUUCUAUACGGAGUUACAAAGGAACGAGGUAGACGAAGCGACCUGGAAAGGUCCGUCGUAGAGGGUAACAACCCCGUAGUCGAAACUUCGUUCUCUCUUGAAUGUAUCCUGAGUACGGCGGAACACGUGAAAUUCCGUCGGAAUCUGGGAGGACCAUCUCCCAAGGCUAAAUACUCCCUAGUGAUCGAUAGUGAACCAGUACCGUGAGGGAAAGGUGAAAAGCACCCCGGAAGGGGAGUGAAAGAGAUCCUGAAACCGUGUGCCUACAAAUAGUCAGAGCCCGUUAACGGGUGAUGGCGUGCCUUUUGUAGAAUGAACCGGCGAGUUACGAUCCCGUGCGAGGUUAAGCUGAAGAGGCGGAGCCGCAGCGAAAGCGAGUCUGAAUAGGGCGUUUAGUACGUGGUCGUAGACCCGAAACCAGGUGAUCUACCCAUGUCCAGGGUGAAGUUCAGGUAACACUGAAUGGAGGCCCGAACCCACGCACGUUGAAAAGUGCGGGGAUGAGGUGUGGGUAGCGGAGAAAUUCCAAUCGAACCUGGAGAUAGCUGGUUCUCCCCGAAAUAGCUUUAGGGCUAGCCUUAAGUGUAAGAGUCUUGGAGGUAGAGCACUGAUUGGACUAGGGGUCCUCAUCGGAUUACCGAAUUCAGUCAAACUCCGAAUGCCAAUGACUUAUCCUUAGGAGUCAGACUGCGAGUGAUAAGAUCCGUAGUCAAAAGGGAAACAGCCCAGACCGCCAGCUAAGGUCCCAAAGUGUGUAUUAAGUGGAAAAGGAUGUGGAGUUGCUUAGACAACUAGGAUGUUGGCUUAGAAGCAGCCACCAUUUAAAGAGUGCGUAAUAGCUCACUAGUCGAGUGACUCUGCGCCGAAAAUGUACCGGGGCUAAAUACACCACCGAAGCUGCGGAUUGAUACCGAAUGGUAUCAGUGGUAGGGGAGCGUUCUAAGGACAGUGAAGUCAGACCGUAAGGACUGGUGGAGUGCUUAGAAGUGAGAAUGCCGGUAUGAGUAGCGAAAGACGGGUGAGAAUCCCGUCCACCGAAUGCCUAAGGUUUCCUGAGGAAGGCUCGUCCGCUCAGGGUUAGUCAGGACCUAAGCCGAGGCCGACAGGCGUAGGCGAUGGACAACAGGUUGAUAUUCCUGUACCACCUCUUUAUCGUUUGAGCAAUGGAGGGACGCAGAAGGAUAGAAGAAGCGUGCGAUUGGUUGUGCACGUCCAAGCAGUUAGGCUGAUAAGUAGGCAAAUCCGCUUAUCGUGAAGGCUGAGCUGUGAUGGGGAAGCUCCUUAUGGAGCGAAGUCUUUGAUUCCCCGCUGCCAAGAAAAGCUUCUAGCGAGAUAAAAGGUGCCUGUACCGCAAACCGACACAGGUAGGCGAGGAGAGAAUCCUAAGGUGUGCGAGAGAACUCUGGUUAAGGAACUCGGCAAAAUGACCCCGUAACUUCGGGAGAAGGGGUGCUUUCUUAACGGAAAGCCGCAGUGAAUAGGCCAAGCGACUGUUUAGCAAAAACACAGCUCUCUGCGAAGCCGUAAGGCGAAGUAUAGGGGGUGACACCUGCCCGGUGCUGGAAGGUUAAGGAGAGGGUUAGCGUAAGCGAAGCUCUGAACUGAAGCCCCAGUAAACGGCGGCCGUAACUAUAACGGUCCUAAGGUAGCGAAAUUCCUUGUCGGGUAAGUUCCGACCCGCACGAAAGGUGUAACGAUUUGGGCACUGUCUCAACCAGAGACUCGGUGAAAUUAUAGUACCUGUGAAGAUGCAGGUUACCCGCGACAGGACGGAAAGACCCCGUGGAGCUUUACUGUAGCCUGAUAUUGAAUUUUGGUACAGUUUGUACAGGAUAGGCGGGAGCCAUUGAAACCGGAGCGCUAGCUUCGGUGGAGGCGCUGGUGGGAUACCGCCCUGACUGUAUUGAAAUUCUAACCUACGGGUCUUAUCGACCCGGGAGACAGUGUCAGGUGGGCAGUUUGACUGGGGCGGUCGCCUCCUAAAGUGUAACGGAGGCGCCCAAAGGUUCCCUCAGAAUGGUUGGAAAUCAUUCGUAGAGUGCAAAGGCAUAAGGGAGCUUGACUGCGAGACCUACAAGUCGAGCAGGGACGAAAGUCGGGCUUAGUGAUCCGGUGGUUCCGCAUGGAAGGGCCAUCGCUCAACGGAUAAAAGCUACCCCGGGGAUAACAGGCUUAUCUCCCCAAGAGUCCACAUCGACGGGGAGGUUUGGCACCUCGAUGUCGGCUCAUCGCAUCCUGGGGCUGUAGUCGGUCCCAAGGGUUGGGCUGUUCGCCCAUUAAAGCGGUACGCGAGCUGGGUUCAGAACGUCGUGAGACAGUUCGGUCCCUAUCCGUCGUGGGCGUAGGAAAUUUGAGAGGAGCUGUCCUUAGUACGAGAGGACCGGGAUGGACGCACCGCUGGUGUACCAGUUGUUCUGCCAAGGGCAUAGCUGGGUAGCUAUGUGCGGAAGGGAUAAGUGCUGAAAGCAUCUAAGCAUGAAGCCCCCCUCAAGAUGAGAUUUCCCAUAGCGUAAGCUAGUAAGAUCCCUGAAAGAUGAUCAGGUUGAUAGGUUCGAGGUGGAAGCAUGGUGACAUGUGGAGCUGACGAAUACUAAUAGAUCGAGGACUUAACCAU
rnacentral:rRNA from 1 species